CCGUCGCGCUGCGCCGCUCCAGUUCUUGCAAACACGCGGGAUGCUGCGAGAAGGCGAAACUGGCACGUGGCAGGGUGACCCACGAUACAGCGCAGUUGGUGUGGAGUUUGUUGCACCUCAGAGUGUCUUCUGCCGGCCAGGUGUGCCUUCGACCUAGCUGGAUGACGAGUAAGCGAAGCAGACAGGCUGCGUAGGAGAUGCAGUUUCUGCCCCAGGAAUCGUGGCAGAAAACCAAAGAACAUCUGCACCUCAUCCCACAUAAGGAGACCAUCUUGCUGUUUCUACGGCACGUUACCAGCUUCAGUUCUGUACCGCCACUCAUCGCCUGUCCUCCGUACCGCCUCCACCAAAUGCUGUAUGUCGCCUAGCCGCUGUCCGUAUCCAGUGUUCCUGUUUCAGCGGCUCCUCUACGAGAUCUCCGCAUACACCGUCGAAAGAAGAAAUUUAAAAAAAAAUUUUUUUGAAACACUGUUGUAAAGAUUUUUUUGGCUAUGAGGCACUUUUCUAUCUACCUCAUCUAUCAAGUUUUUAUACAUUUCAAAAUUACUUUCUUUAGGCUUUCCUAUCGUCUUUAAUACCUGAGCUGGGGUCUAGUCUUCCAGGUUUUCCAGGGUUUCCCUGUGAAGGCCAGCUCCCAAAUGGGUAGACCUUUUCCGCGAUCAUACUGAUUUAUAUCUUCCCUGGUUAUGUACGUGGGAUGCGGAUAUACCUCGGUACAUGUAAAAGUCACAGCCUAGGUAUUCUGGUAACGUACAGUCUUAACAUGUUACCCAUUCACUCUAUGGUAAAUUUCUAAAAAACUAAUCUUCAAAAUAUUUCUCUUUUGAAUAAACGAGCCAACAAAAUUUAUGGUUAGCUCACAAAGUGUAUUAUCAUUAACUUUGCUCGCUGCGAGGGGCAAUUGUAAUAUCGCUUUAUAUUCUGCUAAUUAUCUCUGCACAACUCUAUGAGUGAAUUACGUUUCAUACUUGACCAUCUACAUACUCGCAGAAUCGAUGCGAAAAGUAGUACAGUACUAUUACUCUUCCAUGAGCGCAUAAUUACUCUUUGUAACAUUCUCUCUGGUGUGUGUUGGAAUGACUUCAAGGAUUUUCUCCGUGCCGAAUAGCCACACUGAAUAAUUGUAAUGUUGGUAUCUAGAUUACUGCAAGAAAGAGAUUGGAAAUAUAUUGUAUGCUAAUCAAGAGAAUAUAUAUUGAGCAUCUACAUCAAA